UUUUUUAUUUUCAGGGUGACAGCUUUGGGAGAUGGGGAGAGGGCUUUGUAAAGGAAGACCCCGCUGACCGUGGUGGGCAGAGGGCCACUCGGAAGGUUGGAAAGACCCCCAGUGGUUUUAGGCAAAGGAAGGACGUGUGUCCAUCUCUAGACAAAGACUAACAGCUGGAAACCCUCGGUGGGUUUCAAACUCACUGUUACCUGAUGUUUCACUGCUCCAUGGCUAAACCUCGGGGUGUGACUUCUGGAAUGUGAGGGACUCGGUGGACCUGACUCUGCUGGAGACGUGGGAGCUGGCCCCAAUGCACACAGCAUCCUGGACCCAAAGGAGCCAGGGAAUCAGCUCUCACUCUCCCCUGCCCCCGGACACCCGGAACCGUUGGUGAGCUUCUUGCCGGAUUCCCUCUGAAGGAGCCACCUUUGGCCUCUGGGUCUGAAGAGAAGGUGAACUUACGUUGCCUGCCCUGGGGUCCCAGGCCUCUAACUCUGUGAGAGCGGCCGUGCUGGGGCCCCAGUCCACAGGCGUGGCUCAGAUCCGAGCUCCAUCACUUGUGGGACGGGGUGGGGCUGAAAGCUGGGGCCUGACGUCCUCUUCAGGGCUCAGGCCCAGCUCCCUGGACACGCCUUGCUGGUGGUGGAAGGGCGGAAGGAGGGGAGCUGGCUCUGCCCAGACCUCCUCCGUGGCCUGGCUGGCUCGUGGUGACGCAGGGCCCUUGGGGGAGCCUGCAGGGUGGGCACGAGUCCCUGUCGGAGCCCGCCUCACUGGCCUGAGCUCUGUCACUCUCUUCCUGCUGCUGCUCGGCCAGGGACUCGGUUUAAGCGAGGGCCGGGCACUGUCUGGCACUGCUCACCAGGGAAGCCCAAGGGCUGUGCUGGAAGUUUCUCUGGAGACCACAGGGGUCCCGACCGCAAGAAGCCUGGAGUGUUUCUUCAUUCUUCAGUCUGUGACUCAGCAGCAAGACAUGAGAGCCAGUGUUUUGCAAGAGUCUCCG
rnacentral:lncRNA from 1 species